rnacentral:lncRNA from 1 species
GCUAAAUUGGCUAAUUAUCCUACGAAAUGACAUAAUUAGCGUAGUUAGCUCCAAAAUGGCCUAUUUAAUAAGAAAUGACCUAUACUUAGCUAAUUAUCCUCGAAAUGACAUAAUUAGCUUAGUUAGCUCCAAAAUGGCCUAUUUAAUAAGAAAUGACCUGUACUUAGCUAAUUAUCCUCGAAAUGUCAUAAUUAGCUCCAAAAAGGCAUUCUUAGCCAAUUUAGCCUUUCUUGGAGGAGUCUAAGCUACGUAGAAGAAGAGAUAGAGAAGAAGAAGUAAAAUAAGGAGGAGGAGGAGGUGGAGGAGAAGAAGAAGA